GCCCCGCCGCGACCGGCCUGGUUCGCUUGGAGCCCCGUGGCCACCGGCCGGCCGCGGGGCCGUGUUGUCCUGAGGGCCAGAAAAAGGGAGGAGCGGGUGGAGGGACAGCCACGUGGCCGCAGGAGGAUUUACAACAUUUUCUUUCGCCAUCGACGGUACCGUAAAAUGUGUGAGAGAGGCUGCGGCGCAGCCAGGACUGGAGCGUGAGGGCGCGGGCCAGCGUUUUCCCCCUACCGGAAAUCUUAUGGGCUUAUGACAUCAUGGCUGGCUGCUGAGCGAUGAAGUGGAUGCCACAAUGAAAUCCGACAUAUCGGAUGGAUUCUGAAAUCGGUUUCCCUCCAGCUAUAGUAACAGGCAUGAAGUCAGGAGAAUCUGAGCUUUGUUUAAAAAAAAAAACACAAUGAAGUCUUGCCCUGUAUUAAAUGUAAUUUUCUUAAAAACAAGCAAACCUUUUGGACAUCAUUUUAUUUUAAUAGAAAUGCUGAGUUUUAUGAAACUAAAGUGGCUAAUAAAUCGGACCUGAAGCUUUGUGAGCAUUCCGUU